rnacentral:rRNA from 1 species
UCCGUAGGGGGCUAGCGUUGUCCGGAAUCAUUGGGCGUAAAGCGCGUGUAGGCGGCCCGGUAAGUCCGCUGUGAAAGUCGGGGGCUCAACCCUCGAAUGCCGGUGGAUACUGUCGGGCUAGAGUACGGAAGAGGCGAGUGGAAUUCCUGGUGUAGCGGUGAAAUGCGCAGAUAUCAGGAGGAACACCCAUUGCGAAGGCAGCUCGCUGGGACGUUACUGACGCUGAGACGCGAAAGCGUGGGGAGCAAACAGG